CAGCUGACCCGAGCAAGUGGGAGCUCACAGACUCCAGACUGACAGCUGAGGAACCUGAAUACCUUGAGGACUAGAACUCAGGCUCCCCGUGCCCAUCUGAGGCUGCUCUCCAGAUACAAAGCACUGCAGCAAUGCUGGCAGCCGCCCACCUGUAACCUUCCUUAGGACAUGUACCUCCAGUGAGCUUCACAGCACUUCUGUGAGGUAAGUUCCAUUUUUGUGCCUCCUUGACAAAUGAAGAAAGUGAGGGAGAAAGAUGAGUCAUUUGCCUGUGACCAUCUGCUGGCAAGUGGCAGGCUAAAGACCCACCUGUGGACCACAUAUGGACCUUACCUUUAGCAAGACCCUUGGUCCCUCAGGCUUCAUGGCUCUCAGCUAUGGGUUUUCGACCUGCUGUGAUGAGCUAGAUUCUCAGGUAAGAACAUCCCCCCCCAGCCUUUCUCCAGAAACUCAGAACCCCAGAAGCUAGAGGACUUCACAGGCCCUGUGGUGCCCUUAGAUCUCUCUUCAGAGAGGGCCCUCACUUCUCCAGCUGCUGGGUCGGUCACCUUUGAGUGGGUCACAGUAGAUAUCCUCUCAGGGUUUCUCCUGAUAAUGAGAUCCAUCUGGCUAAGGCCAGAUUCUUUUCCAGGGAGAAGCCUGCAUCUCAAAAUUGUUCAAUCAAAGGCCUCAGUGGGGUUCUCUUUGGGAGAUGCCCCCCAAUAGGAUUGGGUGGGGCUUCCUUCUACUGCUUCUCAGAACCACCCUCUCUCUCCCUAGUCUUUUUCUUUCACCAUUGACAGAUCCAAGCACAUCUCAGUAGAUGUGCAAACUGUGGCCCCAGAAACUGAGUGCCAAGAUUCCAGCCUAGCUGGACAGUGGUGUUGCACACCUUUAAUCCCAGCAAUCAGGAGGCAAAGGCAGGUGGGUCUCUGUGAGUUCGAGAUCAAUCUGGUCUAAAGAAUGAGUUCCAGGACAGCCAAAGCUAUACACAGAGAAACUCUGUCUUGAAAAACCAAGCACAGCCUAGAGACUCAGACAGAAUGUGAGCUCAGGUUUUCCUAGAUUUUCCAUUUUCCUAGCCGCCUGGUAUUUUGGCUUUUAUAUCUUUGGCAUUAACUGUGUUAAAGGGUCAUGCUUGUACCUUACCCUAACAGCAGGUGGUAUUUCCAGAUUAGGCCUCCACCUAUCCUGACCAUCUUACUGGCCCCAGGAUACCUGCAGGUGGCCCACCUGGGACCAACUCCUGUUAUCUCAUUCCCGUGACCCUCCAAGCAUGUUGGGGCUUGGGACCACCUCAAAUGCAGGUUCAUGAAGCAUACAACAAGACUCUUGACUGUGUGGAUCUCCUAAAAUGAGGCCCAGGCAGUGGAUUCAGGGCCCAACUUGUUCUCUUGGCUCAGAUCCUUGGGCCUUCCUUGCUGAGGUACCAGAAGCUUUCUGUCCUCUUCCUCAUCCUCCCCUUGUAGUUGGAUAGCUACCUUCCUGUAGAAAACCAGCAUCAAAGCCCCGCCCCCUCUUUGUUUCACACUCCCCACUGCCUUCCAUGGCUUGCAUGGCUUCACACUGCACACCCAGACCUGCCCCAAGAGGCCAUGGAAGAGACCAUCCUUGGCCAAUGAAGCAACACUUGCUGUCCUUGGAACAAGGCUCAUUCAUUCUCUUCUCCUCUGACAUUUUCUCCAAGAAGCUCUUCUCUGUGAGGGCCGUCUGCAGAAAGGAGAAGGCAUCCUAAUCUCCUUGACCCAACUGCAAGAUCAAACUGCAAGUCCCUCUCAUCUGGUGACAGUGGUUCCAGAUUUGUAGGGAGCCAGACCAACCAAAGACUUUAUCCGGGGCCCUGAUGACAAAGGGACUUUAGUUCUGCGUUCUUGCACAGAAAUAGACUAGGCAAGACCAGUCUAGUGCUAGAGCCAGUGCUGUAAAGGAGUCAAGGCUGUAGCUUAUGGUGACCUGACUCUUCUCCCUGGACAGUGGUUAUGAGGCCUAGGUCACCGAUGUUUGAGGUAUCUGUGUUCUCUUUGCUAGCAUUGUCUGGCUUAGCUCUCUGCUUACCUUAGCCAUUUUCUCCCUGCAAAUAGUAUAUAAGAUACUCUCUCUUCUCCUCCUCUUCCUCCUUCUCCUCUUCUUCUUUUGUCUUUUUGAGACAGAGUUUUCUGUAUAACAGCCCUAGAUGUCCUAGAACUCAUUCUGUAGACCAGGUUGGCCUUGAACUCGGAGAUCUGCCUGCCUCUGCCUCCCAAGUGCUGGGAUUAAAGGCAUAUGGAUGCUGUCCUUCUUAACAAACUUGCUUGGCAUUAGCCAUCAGCUUAUGUGAGACCUCCUGGUCCCAGCUAUUGUUUUUGUCUUCUUUAAUUCUCAUCCCUGCUUGAUAUCUCACUGCUCCCUGCCUUCCCACCUACCUGCCUGAUGUUCCCGAAAUAGAAAUGGCUGGUGCCUUGUGAAAGCAUCGUUUCAUUGUAAAUAAAGUAAAAGAUGACAUGGUGAGACUCUCCCCUGAAUCAUAUCUCAGAAUAGGAAGACUAAGACAGAGGUCUGGGCUCAGGGAAUGACUCAGUGGGCAAAGCAUCUGUCAUGCAAGCUUGAGGGCUUGAGUUCAGCUCCCAGAAACCACAUAGAUGCCAGAUAAGGUAGUGUGCACCUACGAGAGGAUCAGAUACCAGCUAGCCUGGUGUGCAUGGGGACAAACACCAAAGAGAUCCUGCCUCAAAUGAACAGGAAGGUAAGGUCAUAUAUGCCCACACAUAGGCCAUGGCAUGACAAGAACAACAACCUCUCCUGGCAAAACAAAACUGAAGACUGACCUUUUACCACUGUCAAUUGCCAAUUUAAAAGUUAAAAAAAGAAGAAAAUUAAGCUAAACCUCAAGUAAACUAAGCUAAACCUCUUGCCUUUACCCGACAAGAGGAAAAAUGGUGAUUUUGAAAUGCUGAUUUUCAGAGUGGCUGAAUCCAGGGUAGAGAGUCGCCUUACAAAAGCUCAGUGUGGGGGCUGGUAAAUCAAAUUCAAGCAGUGACAAAUGCAUAGACGGAUUCUAGAGAAAGAACCAUAGUGUUCCUGAAGAAAGGAGCUUAGCCUGUUAGUGGAGACCCUGUCACUUCCCCGGCUGUCCAAGACUCUGGAUGCUGGCCACCUCAGCCAGGCAGCUCGGGUCACAGCCUUGUCCUCUGCCUUGUGCCCAGAGGCUCAGCUCUGCAGACAGUGAUAUCAUUAUGUCAUUGCCCAGGCUGAAAAAAAAAAAGACUGUCUUGCAUUCAAUCUUAUUUUCUAUUUAUUUCCUUGGAGCCUUGUUCCCAUGACUAAUGGCUGGAAGCUUCUGGAAGGUGGCAGAGCUUGGCUUAGCCUGGGAGAUAAUGAGAAAAGGGCAGGUUCAGAGAGAGUCCCAAGAUCACAGUGGGGAUCUGACUCACAUUGGACCUGUGCCUCCUCCUCUGGGCUUUUGCCCUCUGCUCAGUGUAGGGAAGCAGCUCUCCAGAUACACAGGUCUAUUUUAGGGCUAGCUGUAGCAUUCUAGAAGGUCCCUGGUAGUGAGGAAGGAGGGUCCUGUCUUUUCUACUUUCUGUAACAAAUUGACACAGGAACUGGAGAAAUGGUUCAACUGAGAAAUGCCUUGAAAUCAUGAGGACCUGAGUUCCACCUUCAAGACCCAUAUUAAAAAUGGUGGUACAUUCUUUGUAAUACUGGGACUGGGGAAGCAGGGACUUGAGGUCUGAUGGCCAGUCAGUAUAGCCUAAUAGGCAAGCCCUAGGUCCCAGCAAGGGGUCUUGAAAAAUAAGGUGGAUGAUUCCUGAGAAAUGAUACCUGAGGUUGACUUCUAACCUCCACACUGAUGUGCAUGCAUUCCCACCAACCCCCAUGCGUGAACACACAAAUAAAUAUAAUAAUGAACAGA